ACUUCCAAACGCAGAGCGAACCCUCAGAGCCCGCUCUCCCACUUACCUAACUCGGUAUCGGCCAAUCCAGAGCGCCUGAGAGCAGUUAGCUGCUGGCUUCCUUAAAGGGGAGCGGAGACGCUCAGACUUGACUUGUCCAUUGGGUCCAGUGCUCGCACGCAGGGGACAGAGUAAAGGGAAGUGGGACCUGGACUCGGAGGCCAGUGAUUGCUCUCCCCGCUGGAACACACCCAGCUCAGCCGGGCUGCAGCAUGACUCUGUGGGAUGGUGUGCUGCCCUUCUACCCUCAGCCCCGGCAUGCCGCCGGCCUCAGUGUCCCGCUACUCAUCGUCAUUCUCGUGUUCUUGGUCUUGGCCGCCAGCUUCCUGCUCAUCUUACCUGGGAUUCGUGGCCACUCGCGAUGGUUCUGGUUGGUGAGAGUUCUUCUCAGCCUGUUCAUAGGAGCAGAAAUUGUGGCGGCGCACUUCAGCGCAGAAUGGUCAGUCGGCAGCGUUAGCACCAAAACAUCCUACAAGGCCUUCAGCGUGGAACGCGUCCGAGCCCACGUCGGUCUGCAUGUGGGCCUGGAGGGCGUUAAUAUCACACUCACAGGGACCCCAGUGAAGCAGCUGAACGAGACCAUCGACUACAACGAGCAGUUCAUUUGGCGGAUGGGCCAAAACUAUGCAGGGGCGUACGCGGAGGCCCUGGAGAAGGGGCUGCCGUACCCGGUUCUCUAUCUGGCGGAGAAGUUCACUCCGAGUAGCCCCUGUGGGGUUUACCGCCAAUACCGCCUGGCGGGACACUACGCCUCGGCCACUCUAUGGGUGGCCUUCUGCUUCUGGCUCCUCUCCAACAUGCUGCUCUCCAUGCCGGUUCCGCACUACGGAGGCCUGACUCUCCUUAUCACCGGCGCCUUCGCGCUCUUCUCGGUGUUCGCCUUCGCCUCUAUCUCCAGCGUGCCUCUCUGCCAGCUCCGCCUCGGCUCCUCCGAGCUCACCACUCACUAUGGCGCAGCCUUUUGGAUCACGCUGGCCACUGGCGUCCUGUGCCUCCUCCUCGGAGCCGCGGUGUUGAGUCUGCACUACGCUCGGCCCAGCGCUCUUCGCCUCUUCUUGGAAGGAAGUGUCAACGACCUCGAAAGUCCGGCGAAGGGGAGCUCGCCUCUCAUCCUCAGCAACCCACUGCAUAAGCAGUUCAGGACCUCGGACUUAACCAUCAGUACUAACCUGUGAAAGGACUCAACGUCGGACUCCUACUCUGCCUUGGUCCCCGCGCAGGCCGGGGUGCGGUGCCCGCCGAGCGGAGGAGCUCCGGGAGCGCGGUGGGAGAGGCCGGUGGCCUCAGAUGUGACCCCCGCUCCGGGGAAAGAGUCUCCCAGGGCCUCCAGCACAAGCAGACAGAUCACAGAGCAUAAAAAGAGCUGUAUUUAUUGUCAAGUUUCUCCCAAUACUUCGAACUCCCACUUGAUCUGAACCUGGGCGGAUGUGGGAAGUGCGCCUCUAGGGGCCGGGGCGGGGACAGCACUUCAAGGCCCUCUUCGACACCCACCCGGGCCACACAGACCGCAGCAGUUUACCCGCCACUUAAACCCGGACUGCUGUUUCCUACCUUUGCCUCUUCGAAACAAUGCGUGCCUGGCAGCCGGCGCCGCUCGCCUCUUCGUGGUGGAACCUCACACGAAGCGCUCCCAGAUAUGGGAUAAAGAAGAAACCAGGUCCGGACGCCCUGUCACCAAAAGCGCACGCCCUUUCUCUUGGAGGGGUUUUCUUGCAACCCCUACUCUUCUCCUACUGCACUUAAGUAGACUACGACCGGACAAACCAGGUCCGGGAUGCUUUCCCGCCCUCCCCCGCCCUCGCCCUCGCCCCGCCCCUCCCGCUCCAAGUACCUCUCAACCUUCUCAGACCGCACCCCAGUCUCUGCGGCGCUGCGCCCGCCCCCACCCAGCCUAGGACGGAAAAGGGACGGGUGCGCGAGAACGGUCCACUCCGCAGCCAGCCCUCCGACUCCUCCUUCCCCUCGCCCCUGGCGCACAACCCCGGGCAGUUCUAGCACAAACCUAGCGAUGCAAUCCGGGGUCCAGAGGGGCGCGGACGG